ensembl:snoRNA
UGUGUGUGUGUGUGUGUGUGUGCGCGCACUGAACUAGUGGACAGAGACAUUAAAACAGAUAUAAAAUUAAGGCUACUUCUGUAACCCAGAAGUCAUUCUUCAGCAUGAGUCUUGAUACACAUAAGAAAGAACGUG